GACGAACGCUGGCGGCGUGCUUAACACAUGCAAGUCGAACGGUGAAGCCCUAGCUUGCUCUGUGGGAUCAGUGGCGAACGGGUGAGUAACACGUGAGCAACCUGCCCCUCACUCUGGGAUAAGCGCUGGAAACGGCGUCUAAUACUGGAUAUGUGAUGUUACCGCAUGGUCUUCGUUUGGAAAGUUUGUUUGGUUGGGGAUGGGCUCGCGGCCUGUCAGCUUGUUGGUGGGGUAUUGGCUCACCAGGGCGUCGACGGGGAGCCGGCCUGAGAGGGUGACCGGCACCACGGGGACUGGGACACGGCCCAGACUCCUACGGGAGGCAGCAGUGGGGAAUAUUGCACAAGGGGGGCAAGCCUGAUGCAGCAACGCCGCGUGGGGGAUGACGGCCUUCGGGUUGUAAACCUCUUUUAGCAGGGAAGAAGCGAUAGUGACGGUACCUGGAGAAGAAGCGCCGGCUAACUACGUG
rnacentral:rRNA from 1 species